UACAGAGGGUGCAAGCGUUGCUCGGAAUCAUUGGGCGUAAAGGGUAGGUAGGUGGUCUCAUUUGUCAGGGGUGAAAUCCUUGGGCUUAACUCAAGAAGUGCCCCUGAAACGGUGAGACUAGAGUCUUGGAGAGGGUCGUGGAAUUCCCGGUGUAGCGGUGAAAUGCGUAGAGAUCGGGAGGAACACCAGAGGCGAAAGCGGCGGCCUGGACAAGUACUGACACUCAACUACGAAAGCGUGGGGAGCAAACAGG
rnacentral:rRNA from 1 species